rnacentral:rRNA from 1 species
GACGAACGCUGGCGGCGUGCUUAACACAUGCAAGUCGAACGGAAAGGCCCUGCUUUUGUGGGGUGCUCGAGUGGCGAACGGGUGAGUAACACGUGAGUAACCUGCCCUUGACUUUGGGAUAACUUCAGGAAACUGGGGCUAAUACCGGAUAGGAGCUCCUGCUGCAUGGUGGGGGUUGGAAAGUUUCGGCGGUUGGGGAUGGACUCGCGGCUUAUCAGCUUGUUGGUGGGGUAGUGGCUUACCAAGGCUUUGACGGGUAGCCGGCCUGAGAGGGUGACCGGCCACAUUGGGACUGAGAUACGGCCCAGACUCCUACGGGAGGCAGCAGUGGGGAAUAUUGCACAAUGGGCGGAAGCCUGAUGCAGCAACGCCGCGUGCGGGAUGACGGCCUUCGGGUUGUAAACCGCUUUCGCCUGUGACGAAGCGUGAUUGACGGUAAUGGGUAAAGAAGCACCGGCUAACUACGUG